rnacentral:rRNA from 1 species
GCCCAGAGCCUGAAUCAGUGUGUGUGUUAGUGGAAGCGUCUGGAAAGGCGCGCGAUACAGGGUGACAGCCCCGUACACAAAAAUGCACAUGCUGUGAGCUCGAUGAGUAGGGCGGGACACGUGGUAUCCUGUCUGAAUAUGGGGGGACCAUCCUCCAAGGCUAAAUACUCCUGACUGACCGAUAGUGAACCAGUACCGUGAGGGAAAGGCGAAAAGAACCCCGGCGAGGGGAGUGAAAAAGAACCUGAAACCGUGUACGUACAAGCAGUGGGAGCACGCUUAGGCGUGUGACUGCGUACCUUUUGUAUAAUGGGUCAGCGACUUAUAUUCUGUAGCAAGGUUAACCGAAUAGGGGAGCCGAAGGGAAACCGAGUCUUAACUGGGCGUUAAGUUGCAGGGUAUAGACCCGAAACCCGGUGAUCUAGCCAUGGGCAGGUUGAAGGUUGGGUAACACUAACUGGAGGACCGAACCGACUAAUGUUGAAAAAUUAGCGGAUGACUUGUGGCUGGGGGUGAAAGGCCAAUCAAACCGGGAGAUAGCUGGUUCUCCCCGAAAGCUAUUUAGGUAGCGCCUCGUGAAUUCAUCUCCGGGGGUAGAGCACUGUUUCGGCAAGGGGGUCAUCCCGACUUACCAACCCGAUGCAAACUGCGAAUACCGGAGAAUGUUAUCACGGGAGACACACGGCGGGUGCUAACGUCCGUCGUGAAGAGGGAAACAACCCAGACCGCCAGCUAAGGUCCCAAAGUCAUGGUUAAGUGGGAAACGAUGUGGGAAGGCCCAGACAGCCAGGAUGUUGGCUUAGAAGCAGCCAUCAUUUAAAGAAAGCGUAAUAGCUCACUGGUCGAGUCGGCCUGCGCGGAAGAUGUAACGGGGCUAAACCAUG